rnacentral:rRNA from 1 species
UACAGGGGGGGCAAGCGUUGUUCGGAAUUACUGGGCGUAAAGGGCUCGUAGGCGGCCAACUAAGUCACACGUGAAAGCCCCGGGCUCAACCUGGGAAUUGCAUUUGAGACUGCGUAGCUAGGGUGCGGAAGAGGGAAGCGGAAUUUCCGGUGUAGCGGUGAAAUGCGUAGAUAUCGGAAGGAACACCAGUGGCGAAAGCGGCUUCCUGGUCCAGCACCGACGUUCAGGCACGAAAGCGUGGGGAGCAAACAGG